GAUGAACGCUGGCGGCGUGCCUAAUACAUGCAAGUCGAGCGAACAGACGAGGAGCUUGCUCCUCUGACGUUAGCGGCGGACGGGUGAGUAACACGUGGAUAACCUACCUAUAAGACUGGGAUAACUUCGGGAAACCGGAGCUAAUACCGGAUAAUAUAUUGAACCGCAUGGUUCAAUAGUGCAAGACGGCUUUGCUGUCACUUAUAGAUGGAUCCGCGCCGCAUUAGCUAGUUGGUAAGGUAACGGCUUACCAAGGCAACGAUGCGUAGCCGACCUGAGAGGGUGAUCGGCCACACUGGAACUGAGACACGGUCCAGACUCCUACGGGAGGCAGCAGUAGGGAAUCUUCCGCAAUGGGCGAAAGCUUGACGGAGCAACGCCGCGUGAGUGAUGAAGGUCUUCGGAUCGUAAAACUCUGUUAUUAGGGAAGAACAAAUGUGUAAGUAACUAUGCACGUCUUGACGGUACCUAAUCAGAAAGCCACGGCUAACUACGUG
rnacentral:rRNA from 1 species